rnacentral:rRNA from 1 species
UACGUAGGGUGCGAGCGUUAAUCGGAAUUACUGGGCGUAAAGCGUGCGCAGGCGGUUUUGUAAGUCAGAUGUGAAAUCCUCGGGCUUAACCUGGGAACUGCGUUUGAAACUACAAGGCUAGAGUGUAGCAGAGGGGGGUGGAAUUCCACGUGUAGCAGUGAAAUGCGUAGAGAUGUGGAGGAACACCGAUGGCGAAGGCAGCCCCCUGGGUUAACACUGACGCUCAGGCACGAAAGCGUGGGGAGCAAACAGG